AUGUUUUUUCAUUUGUUUAGUAAUCCGAAUUAUAAUGAUUUUAUUUUUAGUACCACGAAAGAAAAUAAUUUUUCUUUUACUUUAGGUGCUAUAGAUUUAAAUAAAUUUGUUAAUAAAAAAAAAAAAUCUUGCAUCAAUUCAACAAUACGUGAAAAUUCUUGUUAUGAUGGAGAUACAAAAUAUUUAUUUAAUUUUUCAAAAGAAAAAAAUGAAAUAUUAGGUACAUCAACUCGUAUUUUGUCACAUUUUAGUAUUUUUAAUUCUGAAUAUAUUGCUUAUUCAUCUUAUGGUAAUACAAAAGAAGAAAAAUAUGUAUUAUGUUUAUUAGGGAUAGAUUCUUUUUUUAAACCUACUUUUAAAAAAGAAAUAUAUGCAUUUACUAGUGAAAUAAAUUAUUUUAAAUUAUUUCCAUCUAUGCAGGAUAAUUACUACAAUACCAACACCACCUCCAAUAAUGAUGAUUAUUGUGUAACUGAUGGUUAUUCAUAUCAUCAUAAUAAUAAAAUUGAUAAAAUUUUUAUUUGUGGUUCUUAUCCAUGUUUUAGUUUUUAUACAUUAAAAGAUUCAGUUCCUUAUUGUAUAUGGGAUAGUAAAAAGUUGAAAGUUCAUGAUUUAUUAUUAAAUGAGAAUGCCACACAUUAUGUUGAUGAUAUAUUGGAUAUAGAACCACGACAUACUACUUUUAAUAACAUAACACAAGGUAAUUAUUUUUUAAAAAAAAUGAAAUAUAAUUAUUCAAAAAAGAGAAAAGAAAAAGGAGAAAAUGAAACGAACGAUAAUGUAAUAUAUCGUAUGGAUGAAAUAUUGGUAAAACAAAUACUAAAAGAGGAGCAACUAAAUGCACAAAAUUGUAAUAAAUACAAAAAAUCAAAUAUGUUUCCACCACACCAUGAUGAAUACAGUCACAAAUAUGAUAAUAGUAAGUAUGAUAGUAGUAAUAGCUACACUAGCAGUGUUAGUAGUAUUAGUAAUAAAAAAAAAUAUACCAAUAAACGAAAAUAUUACUACAGUAAAGAUAAUACAACUAUUACUAAUGGUAUCAACUGUCAUGACUUUGGUAGUGGUACUAUAAAUAAUACACAAAACUUGAAUGUAUCACAAACACAAACAUCGAAAAAAAGAUAUAACAAUAAUAGUCACAAUAAUAAUAGUAGUAAUAGUUGUAACAAUAACUCCUACAAAAUGCUUAACAAUAUGAACAAUCGUUUGAUUAAAAACUAUAACAAAAAAACAUCAAGUGUUAUGACUCAUUUAAAUGAAAAAGGAAAAAAUAAAAAUAAUAAUUCAAUUAAUUAUUACAAUACUACAUCAUAUAUGUCUGCGAAAUAUAAUUAUAAUGAUAAUAAAAAAAAAGGAAUAUGUUGUGAGAGUAUAAAAAAAAAUAAUAAUAAUAUAUUUUUAUGUUGUAAUACAGAAUAUACAUAUUUAGUUGAUUUACGAUGUAACUAUUUAAAUACAAUAUCUCAUCUAAAACCAGAAGAAGGAUUAGUAAAUAAAAUUUAUUCAUUAAAUAAUAAUUAUUAUCAAUAUAUUUUAUCAAAAACGAAUAAUCAAAUAGGAUUAUAUGAUAUGCGUUAUAUAUCCCCUUCUAAACAUAAUGACGAAUUUAAAAGUAAUUUAAUUACAACAUAUGAAAGAUUUAUAGAUAAUACUAAUUUAAAAAAAUAUAUGAACGAUUUUUAUGUUAUUGAUAAUGAACAAUAUAUUGUUUCAUUAGAUACAUAUACCGACACUGUUUAUUUAUAUAAUAUUCAAAAUACAUUAAAUAAAAAAAUGGUUUUAACCGAUAUGCAUUCAUAUUCAUGUCUUGAAAAUAAACAAAACUUAAUAAACAAUUAUACGAAUUUAUCAAAAAUCCCAUAUAUUUUUACUUCUCCCCAAAAUGAAGAUAAUUAUCAUUAUUAUUAUAAAAGAAAAAUUAAUGAAGGAAAAACACAUAUUAACAAUCAUAUGAAUAAUUUUAAUUUAUUAGAAUCUUAUCCCAAAACAGGUUUAUUUAUAGAAUUAAACAUUCAAUCAAUUUUACCGCUUUUUUAUAUUAAACAAAAUUAUAGUAAAUAUAAUUUUAUUUCAAUUAGAAAUGGUGAUUAUGUUUGUACUAUAAAUAUAUAA
ensembl:lncRNA